rnacentral:tRNA from 1 species
GGGUUGUUAGCUCAGUUGGCUAGAGCACCUCGUUUACACCGAGGGGGUCGGGGGUUCGAGUCCCUCACAACCCACCA